rfam:Canis lupus familiaris chromosome 6, whole genome shotgun sequence.
AAGACUAUACUCUCAAGCAUCAUUUCUACAGUUUGUUACUAGAGAAGUGUCCUAAACAGGUAGAGCGCUGGAAACGGUGAGGAAGAGAGGCAGUGUUCUCUCCUGAGAGUGAAACUGGCUCUUCAUGUUGCUUCUGCAACUAUUUUGUCACUGAUGAUCUUUCUUUUCUUCCUUUGUGAGAGGGAGGAGAGAGUGGCUUUGUGAG